AACGAACGCUGGCGGCAUGCCUAACACAUGCAAGUCGAACGAUGCUUUCGGGCAUAGUGGCGCACGGGUGCGUAACGCGUGGGAAUCUGCCCUUGGGUUCGGAAUAACAGUUGGAAACGACUGCUAAUACCGGAUGAAGACGAAAGUCCAAAGAUUUAUCGCCUGAGGAUGAGCCCGCGUAAGAUUAGGUAGUUGGUGGGGUAAAGGCCUACCAAGCCGACGAUCUUUAGCUGGUCUGAGAGGAUGAUCAGCCACACUGGGACUGAGACACGGCCCAGACUCCUACGGGAGGCAGCAGUGGGGAAUAUUGGACAAUGGGCGAAAGCCUGAUCCAGCAAUGCCGCGUGAGUGAUGAAGGCCUUAGGGUUGUAAAGCUCUUUUACCCGGGAUGAUAAUGACAGUACCGGGAGAAUAAGCCCCGGCUAACUCCGUGCCAGCCGCCGCGGUAA
rnacentral:rRNA from 1 species